UACAGGGGGUGCAAACGUUGCUCGGAAUCAUUGGGCGUAAAGAGCUCGUAGGCGGCCGGUUGCGUCUGCUGUGAAAUCCCGGGGCUUAACCCCGGGCGUGCGGUGGAUACUGCCGGGCUAGAGGGUGGUAGAGGCGAGUGGAAUUCCCGGUGUAGCGGUGAAAUGCGCAGAUAUCGGGAGGAACACCAGUAGCGAAGGCGGCUCGCUGGGCCAUUCCUGACGCUGAGACGCGAAAGCUAGGGGAGCGAACAGG
rnacentral:rRNA from 1 species